GACUCUUGAUGGCUAUGGGCAAGAAGUUGGCCAUAUUCUCCCACAUAUCUAAGGUGUACCUCUGGUGAUCGGUUGAAGCUCUGGUGUCAGAACUACACAGCUAUGCCAAUUGUGCAGUGGACAGUGCUGGUAACUGCAGUGCAGGUCCCA